rnacentral:rRNA from 1 species
GUGCCAGCAGCCGCGGUAAUACGUAGGGUGCGAGCGUUAAUCGGAAUUACUGGGCGUAAAGGGUGCGCAGGCGGUUCUGUAAGUCAGAUGUGAAAUCCCCGGGCUUAACCUGGGAACUGCGUUUGAAACUACAGGACUAGAGUGUGGCAGAGGGAGGUGGAAUUCCAUGUGUAGCAGUGAAAUGCGUAGAGAUAUGGAAGAACAUCGAUGGCGAAGGCAACCUCCUGGGUUAACACUGACGCUCAUGCACGAAAGCGUGGGGAGCAAACAGGAUUAGAAACCCUGGUAGUCC